GGGGUUGUGGCUCAGCGGUAGAGUGCUCACCUAGCACGUGUAAGGCAUUGGGUUUGAUUCCCAGCACCACA
rnacentral:tRNA from 1 species